UACAGUAACUAGUCUACAAAUUUAUAAAGUCCAGUCCAAUUUAUUACAUAUCCCAGCACUGACUAAGGUACAAAAUAUAUGAACUAAAUUAGUGUCUAAACUCAAUUACAACAAAAGGAAAAGCAGAAAUUCCUAAGCUGCCACUACUUCAGCCUUGAAUGAACCAAGAUUUUCAUGAAUUUGACCAUGUGGCAAGGGUCAUAUUCACAAAGCAUCCUUCCGGUAGGGACCUACAAUGUUGCCAAGUUAGUCCUAAUACUAAAGUGAGUAAAGGAAGGAUAAUGAUGUCAACCGGUCUAACCAUGUUCAGGGUCACCCCUAUAGACAUGCAAAAGUCUCCAAACCAUGAUUUAAUCCAUGGUUCUCACUUCAGCAAGGAGAAAGUAGGAAAAGAGAAAAUAACUUAAACACAUACUGCAGAAAUCAAGACUAUUAUGCACUAUUAAGUGGGUAAAUCUGACCAUUUAAAGGGUCCGAUUCAGUUUCCCUUUUUGUGCUGCUACAAAAGGGGAAUUUUGGAUAUAGUUUUAUAGGUAUAUGCACUAAUUCAAGCCUCACACUACCAUGAAUAUGUUACCAACAACACUUAGUAGCCUUAAGAUGCAUGUUUAUAUUCAUACUUUAUACUCAAACAAACCAAAAUAUCAAGACAAAACUCUCAAACAAAGACAUAACAAAGGAAAGACACUAGUUUCAAGAAUAGCUGUUUAUUUCAUAAUCACUUACAACUUUACAUGAACACUAUAUCACAGCAAACACAUAAAGCAGAUAGGAUCGCAAAGGUGAAACCAAUCAAACAUAGGAGUCUGAGGUAUGUACCUUUAAUAGAAAAAUAGACAAUGAAAGCAAAAUCUCUUUGAAAAAUGGAUGUUAGCAACAUCAGCAACAGAACAAAAACAGCCUAGAGAUUCAAACCCAAAAACCAAAACCAGCUCAAAACCAAGAGAUCCAGCUAAAUAACUAGGAAAAAUCUUCUAUUGAAACCAUGUUCUCCACUUGUAUAGAAUCAGAAAAAUAAGAAAGUUUUUUCUUGAGAGUUCUUUUUUUUUUGAAAAAGAGAGAUACUUUUUGGAAUCUGAACUUUUCAGAGCAGGGAAUGUUUGUGCAGUAAUUUUU
rnacentral:lncRNA from 1 species